rnacentral:rRNA from 1 species
CACGGGGGGAGCAAGCGUUGUUCGGAUUCAUUGGGCGUAAAGGGCUCGUAGGUGGCUCUGUAAGUCGGAGGUGAAAGACCACGGCUCAACCGUGGAAACGCCUUCGAAACUGUGGAGCUUGAGGCUGGGAGAGGAGAUCGGAAUUCCUGGUGUAGCGGUGAAAUGCGUAGAUAUCAGGGGGAACACUGGUGGCGAAGGCGGCGUUCUGGACUGCAACUGACACUGAGGAACGAAAGCCAGGGGAGCAAACGGG